UUGAAAGGGAAACGAUUGAAGUCAGUCUUACUGACGGAAAAUCAACUUUUUGGGUGCUUAUCGUAGGUGACGUUGAGCCUCACGGUCUUCGUUGCUUAUGUGUUGGUACCUUUGGAGUGCACUUUUUCGUAUGGUAGGUCAACAUCGAUUUUAAUCGUCAUAAAAUGAUCGGAGGAAUGUGGCUUCGAUUUCGGUCGGAGUGUUAUAGCCUUUGGUAGAUGUGACGAUUGGGAUCGAGGAUUGCAACGAAUACCCCUUUGGGCUAUCCGUCUGACCUCUGAUGGUCGCUUGGGUGCUGAAAGCGUGCUUAUGGUAUUCAAGUUGGCGGUCAACAGGUUAGAACGUGAUUACAUUCGUUAAGGAUGU
rnacentral:rRNA from 1 species